CGGAUUAAAAAAAAAAAAAAUAUAUAUAAAAAGGCCAUUCAGUUGUGGAUCGAUCAUUGUAACAAAGAAAAGGCACGGUCUUUAACGGCCAGUUGGCAGAGUAAUGCCUUGAAACUAGGAAUACCCCUGACCGAGGGGGGUCAGGAGAAGUCAGUGACAGUAUUAAAACAAGAAUGCAGGCAUGCAAAGGAAAGUAAGGAUCGUCAGCAGAGAGAGAGACAAAAUAAGGCCAAGGUAGAUAAAGACUUACGUAAGUCGGUGGCUGGCAUAGAUUUGGGAGGUGACGACGAGGAGGAGGUAGAGGAUUAUCCUUGGGGAGUCCGUGGAGCACCCCCGUUGAACCAGCCUGCCCCCGUUGCCAGUC